rnacentral:misc_RNA from 1 species
ACUUGUACACACCGCCCGUCACACCACGAGAGUUUGUAACACCCGAAGUCGGUGGAGUAACCGUAAGGAGCUAGCCGCCUAAGGUGGGACAGAUGAUUGGGGUGAAGUCGUAACAAGGUAGCCGUAUCGGAAGGUGCGGCUGGAUCACCUCCUUUCUAAGGAUUUUUACAUGACGUACGUUUUGACACUUUGUUCAGUUUUGAGAGUUCAAUCUCUCAAUUAUAGAAAGCACACUACUUUCUUCUUAUUAAAUAAGAAGAAUUUUGGUUGCGAUUGUUCUUUGAAAACUAGAUAACAGUAAUUGCUGAGGAAAAGUGAAACUUUUCUUUAAUCAAAUCAAUAAAUAACACAACAUUAUGUUGUACCAUUUAUUCGCUAAUGGUUAAGUUAGAAAGGGCGCACGGUGAAUGCCUUGGCACUAGGAGCCGAUGAAGGACGGGACUAAC